AGACAAUCAGAGGAAACAAAAUCAGAUUAUUGCGCAGUUGCAGAGUGAACUGCUUACCACACAACAGGAAGUCACGAAUAAGUAUUUGGAUCUUAACAAAUGUACUUUCAACGGAACAUUAGAAAAACAGUAUAAUCAUCUGCUGAAUAAAACAGAUACACUGCAAAAUCACUUCAAUAUCCUUGAACAACAUUAUACAGCUUUACAGACUGAAUAUCUUCAACAACAAAAAACCCAUAGUGUCGACAUUAUGUAUAUGCAUCAAAACCUUUCGAAUUUAGAUGUUAUUACUAAGGAUUUGGGAAAUGAACUGCUGUCAUUAAAACAUUUAAAGACUGUUUCUGAUUUGCAAAGAGUAAACGAUAUCCUUAAUGAAACAAAACAUUUAGAGGAUGAAAUUCAGAAAACAAAUGGUAAAGUUAAUAAUCUUGAAAAUGACCUAGAAGCAAGAAAAAAUGACUUUCUUGCACUUUUUAACAAGGCUGAUCUUACAGAGAGAAAACUAGAAAAAAAAAUGAAUGAAUUAGAUAAUAGAGUUAUCCUGGUAGCAGGGGCAACAAGAGGAAAUUAUACAAAUGGACAAAAUAUAAUUUUCAGUGACAUUAUCAUUGCAAGUGGUGUAGGAAAUGUUACCUCUUUUAAAUCGUCUGGGAUCUUUACCUGUGAAAAAAGUGGCAUUUACCAAAUCGCUGCAUAUGUAUCAUCCAAUGCAAAUCAUUGUGCAUUUAGUGUUCGCAAAAACAAAACUUUUAUUGGAGAUGCAUUUGGAUCAGUCGGUGAUUCUUUUCAUGAUUUUGAAACCAUGACUUUCGUUUCUGUUGUUCAACUUAACGUUAAUGAUACCCUUGAAAUUUAUUCUGAUAGCACAGACGACCAGCUUAUAUAUGGGAGUAGAGAAUCUGGCAUGUCAAUUGUACAGAUUCAAUAACUUUGAUUAAAUAUGAUCUUCCAAAGAAUAUACCGUUUAUGAAAGAUUAUAAAAUAUUAAAUAAGAAUUACUGUAAACCAACUUAUUUUCGCGGAUACUUUUUUUUGCGUUUGGUCCUUUCUAGCCCACUUUGCGGCGAUUCAAUUUGGCGAUUUUGACUUAGAUAAACAAGGAAAGAUCCAAGCUUUUCAUAUUCGCGACGAUUUAUAUUCGCGUUAUUUUUGUACUUGCAAAAGUCUCGAAAAUAAAUCGCCCGCGAAAAUUUGUUGGUUUACAGUAUGUUACAUGUAUUAUUAUCAUAUUUAAUUGGAACAUAUAAAAUUGACUAGUUAAUUUUUUGUGCAUUUAUAUACCAUGAUAGGACAAUGCGAUAGCCUAAAAACCUUGAAGGCAAAAAUAAAAGCUACAAUUAUGUA